rnacentral:rRNA from 1 species
UAGGGAAUCUUCCGCAAUGGGCGAAAGCCUGACGGAGCAACGCCGCGUGAGUGAUGAAGGUCUUCGGAUCGUAAAACUCUGUUAUUAGGGAAGAACAAAUGUGUAAGUAACUAUGCACGUCUUGACGGUACUUAAUCAGAAAGCCACGGCUAACUACGUGCCAGCAGCCGCGGUAAUACGUAGGUGGCAAGCGUUAACCGGAAUUAUUGGGCGUAAAGCGCGCGUAGGCGGUUUUUUAAGUCUGAUGUGAAAGCCCACGGCUCAACCGUGGAGGGUCAUUGGAAACUGGAAAACUUGAGUGCAGAAGAGGAAAGUGGAAUUCCAGGUGUAGCGGUGAAAUGCGCAGAGAUAUGGAGGAACACCAGUGGCGAAGGCGACUUUCUGGUCUGUAACUGACGCUGAUGUGCGAAAGCGUGGGGAUCAAACAGG